rnacentral:rRNA from 1 species
CGAACCCUUCGGGGUUAGUGGCGCACGGGUGCGUAACGCGUGGGAAUCUGCCCUUGGGUUCGGAAUAACAGUUAGAAAUGACUGCUAAUACCGGAUGAAGUCUUCGGACCAAAGAUUUAUCGCCCAGGGAUGAGCCCGCGUAGGAUUAGGUAGUUGGUGGGGUAAAGGCCUACCAAGCCGACGAUCCUUAGCUGGUCUGAGAGGAUGAUCAGCCACACUGGGACUGAGACACGGCCCAGACUCCUACGGGAGGCAGCAGUGGGGAAUAUUGGACAAUGGGGGAAACCCUGAUCCAGCAAUGCCGCGUGAGUGAUGAAGGCCUUCGGGUCGUAAAGCUCUUUUACCAGGGAUGAUAAUGACAGUACCUGGAGAAUAAGCUCCGGCUAACUCCGUGCCAGCAGCCGCGGUAAUACGGAGGGAGCUAGCGUUGUUCGGAAUUACUGGGCGUAAAGCGCACGU